AUUGAACGCUGGCGGCAUGCCUUACACAUGCAAGUCGAACGGCAGCACGGGAGCAAUCCUGGUGGCGAGUGGCGAACGGGUGAGUAAAGUAUCGGAACGUGCCCAGUCGUGGGGGAUAACGUAGCGAAAGUUACGCUAAUACCGCAUACGAUCUAUGGAUGAAAGCGGGGGAUCGCAAGACCCCGCGCGAUUGGAGCGGCCGAUAUCAGAUUAGGUAGUUGGUGGGGUAAAGGCUCACCAAGCCGACGAUCUGUAGCUGGUCUGAGAGGACGACCAGCCCAACUGGGACUGAGACACGGCCCAGACUCCUACGGGAGGCAGCAGUGGGGAAUUUUGGACAAUGGGCGAAAGCCUGAUCCAGCCAUGCCGCGUGCAGGAUGAAGGCCUUCGGGUUGUAAACUGCUUUUGUACGGAACGAAAAGGUUUGGCCUAAUAAGCUGAGCUCAUGACGGUACCGUAAGAAUAAGCACCGGCUAACUACGUGCCAGCCGCCGCCGUAA
rnacentral:rRNA from 1 species